AACUGGGCAUUCAGUUGCCACAUAGUUCAAUGCUCUACUAAUCCUGAAGAAAAUUACUCUUGCCCAACUCCAAAAGGAUUUUAAUUUGGAAUUCCUGUUUUCUAUUGGAGUUGUGUAUGGACCAGGCUACAGAUAUUCAGCCACAAUGAGGAAAAAUGUGUAAACUACAUCUACAGGAGAAGAGAACAAUGAUGGAGGAGUUUGAUUCCACGGUCCUGGGACAACAGGAACACUAGAACUGGCAGAAAAGGAAGAUCAACAGGCCUGAAGGAAACUGGAGGGAAGUGUUCCUAGACUCAAAAUAAAAUAAUGCACAAAGCAUUGCAAACAUCUUACAGCAUUCUCUACCAGUCUGCCACAGCCUGGGCAGCUCUUGUUUCCCGCAAGAUUAUUCAUUUAUUUUGAAGAAGAAUGGUAUGGAAGUUAUAAUUGUGCCAGCUCACAGAUCCUCCAGUGAGAACUGAAGAGAGCAGUGUCUAAAUUAUAGACAUCAUUAUGAAAAUGAUAAGCCUCAGGUUCCUGUACAACAGUUCACCUGAGCCCCUGACCCCAGGCAGGGCUGCUCAGAAACAUCAUGUGAGCAAGAAAUAGCAGACUGAGGUCUGGUUGUACCCUUCCAGCUUGCUCCAGUAAAGAAAUCCAUAGGAUGCCCAUCCACAACUGUUAGUGUUACAUACAAGCAUAGCGUGGACAAAACAAACUCUAGUGUUAUUUCACAGUGUGGUUGCUGUCAUGCAAGCAGAGCUCACACAAACAGAGUAAUUCAUGCACGGAUAAUUCAUGUUAACUCUUCACUGAAGACACAUCCAUCAGUGGUGCACAGGAAGUGGUUUUACUCUUGCUUUGCUUUCACUUAGGUUGCUAAUUAAGAGAAGUUAAUCUAAGCAAGUUUGAACUGGAUUCAAAGUGUCAGCCUCAUGGAUUUUCUUCUAGUUUACAUAGAUCAAAUAAAAUUAAUUAUGUAAACUUUUGGAACUUUUCUAUUGAGGACAAAACCCUGUGUAAUAGAAAAUAUGAGCAAAGACUGCAAAAAUAGAUUCCAGAGCUUACUGCACCCCUUUUUGUGAUAUCUUAUACUUUUCUAUCAUAUGACCAUCUGCAGCUAAGUGGAGCUGGCCAUUCAACAAAGGGACUAGUCAGGUCACUGAAAUAUGGAGUUGCCCUUUGCUUGUAUUUGGAUAACUCUGAUGGAUAAAACAAUCCUGAAUAUUAUUCAGGAAAGACAUCAAACAUUUUGCAUCUGUACACAAAAAAUAGCAGUCUAGACUGAGAGGAGGCUUUCAGCAUUCCUAUUUUCUACUCAACUUUGCAAAAAAAACCUUUUUGAAUUCAUUAUUAAAUGAAGGCAUUUAAAAAUAAUAAACCGAAGCUGCAUUUAAUUUUCAAACAAGGAUAAAGUACCUGUGGAAAGAGGAAGGACAUUUUCCUCCUUUUACCAUGGCACCUUACAGGUUUUGAAGAUGAUUAACUAUUAAAUGCUCUAAUAUUAAAAGGAUUCUUAAAAGGCAUUUUAUUGUGAGGAUUCCUAAUUUUAAAAGGUGCUUCAGGAAGUAAUCAGCUGUUUUACUGCCCUGUUGAGAUAGCUAUCUCUGACACUGUAAGCUCAAGUAGUAUUCAUAUCAAUGUAAGCAAUGUUAUGGCAUACAAUCUCAGAUUAAACUUGUGGAAAGCAACUUCUAACAUUGCAUCACCUACGUAGUAAAAAUAUAUGCCAUUAAUAGAAUGUAAUUACAAAGGCAACAAACAAAUAUCAUGGGUAGGCUGUUUAGGAGAAAAAGGCUUUAUCACUAUGUCAUCAUCAUAUUUCUCUAACCUAACAAAACAAAAAUAACUUUGAUGAGUCAGUUAACAACAUGAUUUCAGAAUAAAAACACCUGAGUUUUCUUUUUCAAUGUCACUCUGUGCACAUCAGAUCAACUACCUUGACAUUUAAACUGCUUGCCACAUGUCACAAUGCAUCAGCCAGAACAGGCAGAGGGACUUGUGCUAGAAGUCUCUUCUUUAAAAAGGAGAAGCCUUGAAGGGGCUGAAUUUCAGAGGAGUUAUCCUGAUUUUGGAAACCAUUCCCUGUACCAAUUGGUUUAUCUAGGCUUUUUUCAUCUGAGUCUGUCCUUACAGAUUUCAGAAGCUAGCUGUUCUACUAGACCUGACAACAAGGCUCUGAAAAAGCCCCUUUUUAACUAGAAACAUCACCUAGUACAUCCAGAAUCUAAAAGCUACAGCAGUAUUCUCAGCCCAAAAUUCAUGUGGAAAACACUCUGACCUGCUACCUAAGGUGACUCAGCACUGAUCAAAAAACACAUGUUCCUGAGGAGAAGCAGUUUAACUGAUCUAAUUCUAAAUCUAUAGUAUUCUGCCUACAUAUACAGAUAAAAGGAUUGAGCCCAAGAUCAAAAGUGUCUAGUAGCUGCAUACUGAGAAAUUAACUUGGAUCUCAUCUGAAUAGGAGCUCUGGAAGUGUGUGUUGUCUCACAGCUCUCCACAGUUCAGGGCAAAUGUCACCUUAUUUAGCGUUAACCACCUCAGCCCUUUAAGGGAGACUGUCAUUCCCUUCUAAGCCCAGCCCACCCAGCCUGCAGCAUGGGGACAACAUCUCCAAGCAGGGGCAACACCUGUGCACAGGGAUCUCAGUGUCAUCAUGAGUCUUAAAAUCAGUAGAGGUUUUCUCCUAAAUGUCCUGAAGCUAGGGCAUAGAAAUCAGCCUAUGUCUAUGUGAUCCUUGGCACUCUCUUACUGAUCCAGUCUCUAGGGCUAUAGAUUGCUAAGUUAAACAGUGUCAGGCAGAGUUCUUGGGUAGGAGAAGUCCACCAGCUCUAUUGUAAAACUACAGUUUUUAGAAUAGCUUAGAAUAGUUGCAGGCACAGCUUUGGUCUUGCCAUAUAGGACUUCACCAGCCAUGGUUCAAGAAUUAGUAGAGCCCUGGCACCACUUCCAACAGGUGGUGUGGAUGUGGAUGCCCUUUGCUGAAGGGUGAGACUUUAUUAUUGCAGUUGCAAGCCACUCCAUGGUCUUAGUGCCAGAACAGGGCCCCAGAAUGCUUUGCUAAACACCAAACACAGUUUAAGCACUUGCCAGAUGAAGACAUAUUUGCCCUCUUCACAAAUUCAGGACCACAUGUGAGGCAUUUUCCAAAGGUUUGGAGACAUUGAGAGAAUGGAUGAUGAACUGGACCACUUCAGUCACCCUCAGAACUCCAGGGCAUUCUCUAACACACCUUUGGAGAGCAAUACCUUGUCCAUGUGUGCUGCUGUUAGCCUGAGGUACAUCUGUGGAUGAAAGUGAGGCAAGUAUUGCUUUUCAUGGCUAUCAGAAAUGGAAAUGGAAGCACCACAAACCACAGGUUUGCUGCUGUUAUAGGCAAUAUAAAAAAUGAAAAUGCUUAUACAUCUUCCCACCUAGGUGUUCAUUUCCACAAUUGUAAUUUUCAGAUGAAAGGGUAUGUCCUGUUGCAGUCUUAACUUCCAGUAAACAGAGAUAUGGUUUUUAAUAAAUGCAUACUGUGGCCCAU